rnacentral:rRNA from 1 species
UACAGAGGUCUCAAGCGUUGUUCGGAUUCAUUGGCGUAAAGGGUGCGUAGGUGGCAUGGUAAGUCGGAUGUGAAAUCCCGGGGCUCAACCCCGGAACUGCAUUCGAUACUGCUGCGCUAGAGUACUGGAGAGGAGAUUGGAAUUUACGGUGUAGCAGUGAAAUGCGUAGAUAUCGUAAGGAAGACCAGUGGCGAAGGCGGAUCUCUGGACAGUUACUGGACACUGGGCACGAAGGCCAGGGGAGCAAACGGG